UGUGUAUUGAAAUGCCAUACAGUUAAAUUGUAGCAGUGAGGAACACGGACGUCAACUUGGCUCUUUCUUCGGCUUUUACACGGGAUUUGAGGAACUCAAACUGGACGAAAAUUGACAUUUUACAAUCCUACCACAUUAAAAGGAAUCUUUAGACACUUUAGGAAGGCUAUUAAUUGAGUACUGUUUGUCAAAAAUCUGUUUAUUCUGUGUUGAGUUUGCAACCAGUUUGGAGAGCUCCUCGAAGUUGAGCGCGAGAUUUCACGGACGAUAACUAAUGACUGUAUAAUGGAUGCAACUUCGCUGUUGAGCCUCCCACUUGCUUGCGAGUUCCACGGAAUAAGCAUUAGCCUUCUCUAUUAAUGUUGACCUUUAAAACAGACAAUGGGAACUCAAAGAACAAUGUUAAACUUCUUCUGGACAAAAGACUGCAGCAAAACUUGACAACUUGUCGUUUUUCUUUGGAGUUCUUCACCAGGGCGAACUUGCCAGCCCCAGGAGAGUAACGCGCCGGUGAACUAUGCCUGCAGCCCUGGGACAGCCGUCAGUGUUCAUCCAAGGAACAUGAAUUCAUAUGAGUGUGGAGAAUGUUGUCGAUGGAUUGGUUUUUCUUUGACAUUCCAGUUUUAAAAACUGAACGAAACUUUUGACAGUAAAAUCAUUGGUUUCCAGAAACUCUAGCCUACUUGUGUAAACCAAUGGAAAAUUCGGUAAUUUGACACUAUUUUGAAGAGACUUUUAUCUAUGGAUUGUGUGGUAAAUGGUUUCGUCACAAGGUAAAGACAGAGUAUUGAAAGGCAACGUGACGGUAAGCGAAGAUCUAACCACAUUCCCCCAAUAAAUAAUCUUGCGGGUUUUAUAUUUCAGAAUAUUAAACGAGGUGCUUGUUGAUGUUGUCAACUUGUUAUGUAUUUCUUGGUGAUGUUACCACAAUUUGAUCUUUCUCGAUGGUUAAUUUCCUUGUGUUGCAUGUUGGUCGUAGCCAGUGAUGCAUUGUUGUAAUUUUUGGCUCAAUUCAAUGGAGGUUUUCUCUGGGUUGUUACAAGCUGAUGUCAACAGUUGUCAUGUUUAACUCAAAAUUUUAUCAUGAUUAAAUAAUUGCUAUAUAUCUAUAGUUGACCUAUUUCUAUCUGGCACUGCCUGUACCCUCUUGUUAUAUUAUUUUUAAAUAUGUUUUACUCUGUAAAUAAGUUUGACCUUUUUUGUUCUUAAAUAAAUUGUUACAGUUACACACAAUUAUUUCUACACAAUAUUUUAGAAAUUAAAAUGUAAGUGGUCCACACCCCAAACAAAAUUUGUUGUGCAAUCUUCCAACAUUGUCAGCGUUGACCAAUUAAAUAUGUUUGGCUUAAAACAUCCUUACUCAGUCAAUAAUAAGACUAUAAAUUACAAAAUAAAUCAUGUGAUUAAACACCAAAUUACACAACAACUCCUGAGCCCAACCCCAACAACCAAGCUUGUUUACAAAAGCCCAUACCAGCUAAGAAUAGCAACUAUCAAUCUUAAGAUUGUGUAGCCGUGCUAAUGUAUACGGGCGCAUGCGAUUUAUGCGAAUAAUAAUUUAGGCAAACACCGAAGAAAAAAAUAAACACAAAAUGACAAAAAUCGCAGCCCCCCCAGAAAAUGAUGACACUCUUUGAUGAUGUGGAGAUACCAGCCAUGGAGAUUGAAGACGAGAUUUAUGGAGAUUGAAUGGUAAACAGUUUGGUGUGUGGUAAGUAAUUAUAGAAGGCUUAGAGUAAAAUGCCAGUGUAGGUCUAGAAAAUACAGCACUAAUCAUUUCCUCAUAACAGGUUAAGAACUCUUCUGGCUGGUAAUGUAUAAGCAGUAUACUUAGUCUUGGUUCAAGCAAACAGUAUGUUCACACAAAAACUGUGCUGUUCUCCAACAAAGACUCGCUGAAUGAUACAUAUAGUAAAACAAACUACUUGAUACCAAGACUAAGUGUUACUGUAUGCCAUGAACCAAAGUCUUCGAUGCUUGGACCCACUGCAGAAGGGUGUACUGACUGCUGAGAUAGAACAAGAGAACAAGGCAGCAAGGUUAAGUAUGAGGUAAAGUAUAAAUGAAGGGUAAUGGUAAACUCUAUGGGUAAGGUAAGGUGCACCGUGGUAAGCGGUUUUCCUAACAAAAGUGCUAACCACAAUUUUUCCUUCCACAGCAAAUAAUUCCUCUUUCCUCCAACAGCGAACUAACCACUUUCUUUUUACAGCAAAUAAUUCCCCUUUCCUCCGCAGCGAAAUAGAACUUUUUUCACAGGUAUGAUAACCAUUUUAUUUUUUUCUUCCCCAGAUAUCAACUCAUUCUUCAACGACUUUGGUUAAGUAUUUGGUAGGGUUGGUAAGUUCUCCUUCCAAGAAAAUAAAAACUUUCUAUUCACAGAUACUUACCUUUUCUGUUUUGUCUUCUCGUAGCUUCAAUUCCUGACUGUCGAUGACACAUUACAUAAUGAUGGCAUUUCUGGGACACUGUCGAUCACAGAGUUUGGUUUCAUUUUCUUCAGCUGAGGAUCCCUGUUUUUGUAGUUGGCAUCUGAUCUGAGUGGAGCUACAUUUGUACCAUGCAGUGGAUUUUGAUUGUUCUUCCCGCGUGGACAAAACAACUCUAGAAUUUCUGCAAGAACUCUACAACCUUUUGAAAUGUAAUUUUCACAGCAAUUAGUACAUGAGAUGCCAAAACACAAGGAGAGGUCACUCACAGGUCAACUCACCAUCUUACCUAUAGAGAGUCAGGUCAGUGUCAGUCAAGGAGAGAACAACCAAGAGCCAACAAGUCAUCCAUCAAUUUGUCAGCCUUGAGAGUAGACUUGGUGACAAGUCGUUAAAUGUCUGUCGCAGUGAUAGCGUUCCGACUUUCUCCGCGACAGACCAUUUAUGACUUGUCCGCAAGUCUAUCUUGAGAGUGGCUUUAGUUACACAACUAGCAAUAAUGAGCUGCAUACCAAGAUUUGAUGAGACAGCACCUCCACAAUCAUUGUCCUUUCAUCCCUGGUGCCCUUUGGCCCAAUUCCAUGGCUCUGUACCGCCAACUCCGCUUACUAUCACCAUUCUCUGCUUACUGUGCAAGCACUGAAUUUCUGCGCCAGCUGUGUAAGUGAAGAAUCCCUAAGGUGGAGUACGCACUGGCGCAAGCAAAUAUUCCCUGCUAACCUGUGACCUACGCUUGAUGUAAUCGCCAAAUUCUUUGCUUAUUGUAAGCAUGGAGAGCCAUGAAAUUGAGCCCUUAGGGGUAGCUCGACCCAUCUUGAGCAUUUUGAGCCUUAAAUGUAGCUUGAUAUGUAGUCUCCACUUAAAUGUUGAGGAAUUUGAGAAUUUUCAUCAAAGAAAAAAGGUUUAGGUGACAGCUGACAGCAGGUUCAAAUACCAAUUACUUUCAGUUCCUGUGGAAUCAACACACAGACAAAUAUCAAGUUGGAAUUGAACCCACAUUUUUCCACUUUCUAGAAAAAGAGUUUGGGCUUAAAUGCAACUCAGUGUUAGUGGAUUUCUUCACAUGGAAUUCUGAAAGACCUGAGGAUAAUUUGCUUCAAAUUUUAUAAACCACAAGGAAAAACUGACUGUGUAAAUUUUAAUGAUUUUGGGUUGAACAAAGAAAAAUUGACUAUAGUGGGACUGGCUGUACCAAGUGUGGGUUGGUUGAGUCCCACUCUGGAAAUUUUUUGCUUUGUUCAACCCCAAAUCAUAAUAAUUUGCUGCAUUAGGUUCUAACAGUUGUGGACAUGUACAUAAGAGAGCGAGGUUCAGAUCCAGGGCCCAAUUUCAUAAGGCAUGUAAGCACAAACAUUUGCUUAGCAAGAAAUUUCUUCCUUAUU